GGGAAUGUAGCUUAAUGGUAGAGCGCUUGCCUAGCAUACAUGAAGCCCCAGGUUCAAUUCCUCAGUACCA
rnacentral:tRNA from 1 species